rnacentral:rRNA from 1 species
GGCGUAGGCGGGAAUGAAAGUUAGAUGUGAAAUUCCGGGGCUUAACCUCGGAGCUGCAUCUAAAACUCCAUUUCUUGAGGAUAGGCGGAGAAAACGGAAUUCCACAAGUAGCGGUGAAAUGCGUAGAUAUGUGGAAGAACACCGGUGGCGAAGGCGGUUUUUCUAGCUUAUUCCUGACGCUAAGGCCCGAAAGCGAGGGGAGCAAACA